AUUUUUCCGGUGAGCUCAUCUCCAUCGUUAGUCCGUCAUAAUUCUAUCCCAUUGAAGUACACUUCUCCAUCAGCACAUGUGGAGAACAUAGACUCUUCCUAUGGGUUUUAACAAAAUCCGCUCUCCAUUGCCUCAUUGGGUUCUGGUCACUAGGUCUAACUCCAUCUAUAACACUAUACUGCCGAGAAAGUCUAAUAAACGGACCAACACUGAUAUCAUCAGGAUCAAUGCGAUGUCCCCUCAGAGUUCUCCGAAUCAAGUUACCCUGAGUCAUUAGGCAUGUUGGUUGGGGACUCCAGUUGUGGCUAUGAAUGCC